rnacentral:miRNA from 1 species
ACUGAUACUUGAUGAAUUUGCAUG